rnacentral:rRNA from 1 species
UACGUAGGGACCAAGCGUUGUUCGGAUUUACUGGGCGUAAAGGGCGCGUAGGCGGCGCUGUAAGUCACUUGUGAAAUCUCCGGGCUUAACUCGGAACGGUCAAGUGAUACUGCAGUGCUAGAGUGCGGAAGGGGCAAUCGGAAUUCUUGGUGUAGCGGUGAAAUGCGUAGAUAUCAAGAGGAACACCUGAGGUGAAGACGGGUUGCUGGGCCGACACUGACGCUGACAAGCGCGAAAGCCCAGGGGAGCAAACGGG